UACGUAGGGUGCGAGCGUUAAUCGGAAUUACUGGGCGUAAAGAGCUCGUAGGCGGUUUGUCGCGUCUGCCGUGAAAGUCCGGGGCUCAACUCCGGAUCUGCGGUGGGUACGGGCAGACUAGAGUGAUGUAGGGGAGACUGGAAUUCCUGGUGUAGGCGGUGAAAUGCGCAGAGUAUCAAGGAGGAACACCGGUGGCGAAGGCGGGUCUCUGGAACGGUAC
rnacentral:rRNA from 1 species